rnacentral:rRNA from 1 species
GACGAACGCUGGCGGCGUGCUUAACACAUGCAAGUCGAACGGAAAGGCCCUGCUUUUGUGGGGUGCUCGAGUGGCGAACGGGUGAGUAACACGUGAGUAACCUGCCCUUGACUUUGGGAUAACUUCAGGAAACUGGGGCUAAUACCGGAUAGGAGCUCCUGCUGCAUGGUGGGGGUUGGAAAGUUUCGGCGGUUGGGGAUGGACUCGCGGCUUAUCAGCUUGUUGGUGGGGUAGUGGCUUACCAAGGCUUUGACGGGUAGCCGGCCUGAGAGGGUGACCGGCCACAUGGGGACGGAGAUACGGCCCAGACUCCUACGGGAGGCAGCAGUGGGGAAUAUUGCACAAUGGGCGGAGGCCUGAUGCAGCAACGCCGCGUGCGGGAUGACGGCCUUCGGGUUGUAAACCGCUUUCGCCUGUGACGAAGCGUGAGUGACGGUAAUGGGUAAAGAAGCACCGGCUAACUACGU